CCCAGCUCCGUGCGACCGCAGGGAGGGUUGGCAACACCUCUUCCCCUUCCGACAGAGAUGGAAAUCGAUCACAAUUGAUCUGCAGACAUGCAUCAGAAGUUUCUAGCUUUAACUGAAUCACUUUCUAGCAUCACUGAUAACUCACUUUGUAAAAAAAAACUUAGGCGAAAUAUUUGGUAAACUUGCAAAAAUACAUAUGCAGACACAUUUG